rnacentral:lncRNA from 1 species
GUUAAACAAGAGAUUUGACAUGGUUGUUGGUUUAGUGUUCGUUCUUCUUGUGGAAAUAGGUUUGGUUGUAAUGUUUAAGUAACAAUGUAUAAUGUGGUAUUUUGAGUGUUUAAGUAACAAUGUAUAAUGUUUAAGUGUCUGUUUAUGUGUCUGUUUUUGUACAAGUAUUAUAAGCUGUGUUUUUAUUGUAAUUAGCUCGGAUGAAUAUGUAAUAGUUUAUGUGUCUGUUUUUGUACAAGUAUUAUAAGCUGUGAUGUCGGCAAGUAUUAAUUUUGUACACAA